ensembl:lncRNA
AGAAACGUUUGGACUGGAAGACACCUCUGAGGGAUAAUUGAGUCGAACCUCACAUCAUGUAGUCCAACAAGGAUGAGAGGACAUCAGAACUCAACACUUUUACAGGCCUCCAAAACAUAUGGUUUACAUUGGCUACUGAUAGUACUUUUGUGGACCAGGAAGUAAAUUGCAUAAAGGUGGUGUUGAACUUACGACAGAAAUGCUUUUUAAGGACAUCCUUCGAGCCACAAAGCAGCUUCAAGGCUGCGAACAUCCCUCAGGACACAGUGCAUCUCCUGCAGCUGCCUGAAAGAACAUGCUUGAAGACCCAUGUGCUGACUUUAUGUGGUAAUUGCCUCUCACUUUGGCUGUGGCUGUCCUUUGCUCUGUGCUCACAGCCCUGCACCACCUGGCAUCAGGCUGCUGCGGGGGCUCUCCUCUCCUCUCUCCUCUUCAUAUAUAAUCAGAUAUUGAAAUACAGGCAUAAACAAAAAACACAACUGAAAGCUCUGAUUUUGCAGUAUGCAGACACUUCACAUGGACCUAUAGGAUAUGCCAAACCAGUCAAAGCUCUGACCGCUUCUGGGUGUCUAUUAUUCAAUGUAUGGAGAAAAGAGAAGAUAAUGAAGGGUGGUUUGAUACCACGAUGCAUUUCAGGGCUUUUGCUAUUUUUGACGUUGUUUGCUGCAAAAUAGAGCAUAUGGCCAUACCUGCCUCUAGUUCUUGUGGACCCCCUCAUGCCGAUGUAUAUUCAACACAAAGGGGCUCAUAUGGGGCAACCAGACAGUGCUACAUAAUACAGGAGAUGUGAAGAAUUUUGAGGCUGGGAUGGAACUAGUAUGAAUUAUCCAGUCAACAAAAGGAAGGGAGUGAGCUAGAGUGAGAAUAAAAAUUAUUUAUACUCUAUGGUAUUUUUGGAAAAGAUUUAGUGUGUUUAAUUUGAGAGUUCUGGAGAUCAUUUCCCCUAGCUAAUUACAGAAUUGGAAUCUUCCUUAAUAACUCAUUGAAGAUUAGUGGAAGUGUUAACAGAAUACAUUAUUUUCUUGCAUACUUAGCAAUGGAAACAUGAACAUAUAAACUGAUCAGGCUUUAAGGGGAACAUAUGCAUAUGGGGUAAUGCUACAGCCACAUCAAUGCAGUUCAUCUACUAAAUGUCCCCUUAGCAGGUCAGGAUUAGUUUUAUUUUAUGUCCAUGUCAUAAAUGUAACAGAUAUACCACUGUGUUCAUACCAGCAGUUAAAUAUCAUUCCUUGUUACUAAGUCCCAUAGCUACGUGAUAAUGUCAUUGGAAAUUAUUAUUAUUAUAGUAGACAGGGACUUGCAUGACCCCUGCUGGGUUGUCUUUUCCAAACUCUGUAACUGAACCUUGUAAUCUACAAAGACCUUUUGAGAGAUGAAUAAUUAAAUUCUUACGAUCACGCAAUUUGCUACAAUAGGGCAGAAAUUCCUAUUUUCGUUUCCUAUCCUGUUCCCUGGAAAAGUAACAAAAGCAUGCUGGAUUCCCCCUGGCAUUUUUACUCCUUGUUGCAAGUUGUGUGACUGAAUAUAGAGAAAUUAAUAAGAAAUCUUGUCACACUGUUGAAAUGAGACAGUUCUCAUUGACUUCAAGAGAGUCUUUUAAAACUUCGGUAUUUUCUUAAAGAAUAAUAUAACUGUUUAGUGAGAAAAUACUUUGUCUAAACACAAGUUAGAUGCGAAAUGUAGGGCUGCCUUAUUUGAUAAACCAUAUAUAUAUUUAUAUAUUAUACCACAAUAUACCAUACAUAUAUUUAUAUAAUAUAGAUAUUGUUUCAUGAAGCACUUAGUGACAAAAGGAGGAUUUAGCGCAUAAUUUUUGAGGCACACUGCCAAGUGACAGCAAUUCUCAAUUCAGCAAUUGUUUAAAAUACCUGUUUACAUUGGGUUAUUUAAAUUAUUACCUAUAAUUUAGCAAAAUACUGAAAGAUGGGGAGUAAGUUUUGACUUUACCCACAAAAAAUUCAGCAGAAAGAUGUCUGGAUCCAGUAGAGAUCCUAGUUGGGACCAGAGGGAAGGGGAGAGCUCAUAGGGGCUGUACAGCCUGACCACAGCCAACUGGUGUAAACUCCGUGAGGCUGCACCAAGCUAAAAGGCUGCAGCUGUGCAAACAGGCAGUGCUGCCAGAAUAUAGAUCUUCCUUCCUUGCUGCCUCUCCAUAGUUUCCAACUCCAAACAAAUCUGUAUCAUGCAACAAACCGCAAUAUGAUAUUUUACCUGUACAGGCCAGGUGAUAAAUGGCCUUGCACAUCAGCAGCCCUCCUUUACAUUAGCAGAAAAGAUAGCUGCUUCUAUAUGUUAGAUACUGUCUCCAGGUUUUGUGGCAUAAUGGGGUAGACAGAUCUAUUUCCAGACAUUUUCCUGUAUUCCCUUUGGGAAAGAGAAAUUUACGCUCCUUAUGCUCUACACAUUUUAGUUUGACAUGAUCAUUUUACUUGUCCCCUUUGAAGCAAGGCAGAUCUUUUUCACUGCAUCAUCCAUCUACCUCCGAGAAGUAAAAUAUGGCUCUUAGCAAGAUCAGGAUACUGUAUCUCUCAACAAGACUACUACUAAUGAAAAUACACCCCCUUAGGCCCUAGCAGUAGCAAAGUAUGUGCUGAUAUAAGGAUGACAUAUUUCCUGGUUAGUUGCAAAAAGAAUAGUUGUAAUUUACCUUAUGAAAAUACAAAAGGAAUCCACCCUAAAAGAGAAAAGUAGUUUUAUUAAUUCAGCACUCCUCUCACAACUCCUUAGUAAAAAUGUACAUAUUAUUAUAAGAUAGAUACAGUUACAUGAUGAAAUAAAAAAAUCCCAAUGGCUCUUAAUAAAAAUACCAUUGAAGCAAGCCACUGUUUUUUCAAGUGCUAAGAUCUUACAGGAAAAAGACUAAGGAAUGACUACACCUAAAUAAGGCUUUUACUAUUGACAGCAAAAGCUACAUUACAGCUUAUACAUUCAUCAGUUAUAACAUCCACAUUUGUGUAAUAAAGACUUCUUUAUAUGUAGAAGUUUAGUUGCCUCACCUGUGGACUGGUACCAGCAUUUGUGUGGGAGUAGCUAAUCCUCUCUUUCAAAAAGGACUUCUUCAGGAAAAACCCCAUGAAGACGCUUCAUGAGUGAUUUCUUAUUUAUAUAAAUGAAAGAACUAGAAACAACAAUAAAAAAAAGAGGAAGAGCUGUUUUCUGGAGAUCAAGCAGACCUGUUAUUUUUAAAUAUUUUGCAGGACUCCUAGAGGCAGCAGUAGGACAAAAGAGCAGAUAUACAGGUAGGUCGAGUAGACGUACAGCAACUGCCUCUAUUUACAGCUGACAAAAGCCUUCAGUUUUGGCACACAGUGUUUUCAUCUUUCUGUGCGGUACAAGUUCCUCCGAUGAGAUUGGACUGCCCAGGGCACUGGUGGCUAACCUGUUUUUCUGAACUGGUUUGCCAGUUUGCUGGUUCAAAUACAGCCUAGGAAAUUAAAGUCAUGGCCUGUGUGAAAUGAGCCGGUAAUAACCAUCAAUUACCUGGUAGAGAGGCAAGCCCAGAUAGCUCAAAUCAUGCCCUUGGCUAAUAGCUGAGAAGAGAAGCAAGGGAGCAAAUGUUUUCAUGGACUGAGCUGCAUUCUCCUCCUCAGGGACAGAGUCUUAGCUUUGAAGAAUAACAUGAAAAUUUUGGGGCUUCUAGAUUAUCCCUUCUAUUUAUAAAGUUUAUCUUCUAUUCAGCUAUAAUAAACAAACUCAAUUUUGAAAGAGAAAACAAAGUGAAGCUGUAGGAUUCCAGUGGAAUAUUAGGCGAAGCCUUGUAAGCAUUCCUCAGUAGGAUAGCAAUAGCAAAGCUGUAGCAACCUCUCUUCUCUCUCAAACCUAUCAAUCAGAUUUGGGGAAAAUGGCUCAAGAUACUAACUUGACAAGUAUGUGCAGAAGCAUAGCUUUUGUACAUCAUAAAAAAAAAACCCCCAGGGGGCUAAAGGAACAAUUCAUUUAGUUUGGGUACAUUUAAAGCUAGAUCCAGUGAAAAACUAGGGGUCUGAACAGCAGGUGAUAAAGCUUCCUGAUGCAAAAUGAAUUUCAUCUUUCUGGCUUAAAAUGCAGGCAGGCAGUGAGAAUCUCCAUGUACUGACCCAUACAGGCAGGUGGCUCGAUGCCUCUGCCCUGAUGCACCAUGGAGAAGAAGGAAUGCAGGAGUGACAAUUCCAGUAGGCAGCAGAGCUCUGAAUACACAGCUGCUACAACACUGUAGACUUUGACUUCGGUGGUGUUAGCACCUCGACACCUUGAUUAACUAAAAAUCUGACUUCAUCUAGAAUUAAAGCAACAAGUUCUUGUUUUGUUAUGAAAAUCUAUUUUCCAUAAAACCAAGCCUAUUGGUACACAAAUGGAUUGCAAUUACUGAGAAACCUUAUGUUUUAAAAACCUCAGAUCAAUUAUUUAUUUUCUGCUCUUUUCUCAUAUUUUUUUUUUCCCUCCAUGGUAUUCAAAUACUAGAAAUUUGUAUUAUUUUUUAUUCACAAAACCAAAAAUACUGACAUGGGUUUUUCCAAAGUAAAAUCUGGAAAACAAAAUGCACAUAUGUGUGCUGUAUCUGAAUGUACAUGUCAGGUAACAGCACACAGAAAUAACAGGAGUAUGAAAAUGAGCAACAUGGGGACUGCAUUCGGAGGAACAGUUGCAGUGGAUCAGUUAAACUCAUUCAAGAACAGUGACUGAAGUCAACGCAGGCACCUGAUGUAUGAUGCAUUUAGGCCAGCCUGCUGGAAAACCGCGAACUGAAUCAGUUUUUGUGAGUGUUAAAUCGCCCCUUGUAUCGGGAGCUAGGGGGUUGAUUGCACAGCCUCACCUAACCAAGAAACCCCCAUCCUUCAAGGAAGACAUAACUGAAGCUGGACCAGUUUUCUCCGGAAAGCGCUAAGCAACAAGCUAACAAGACGGGCCCGGGCAUCUCGGGCACACGGGCCUGACACAGGGCCCGUGACCCCGGUCCCAGAGCUGCGGCUCUGGGCUUCGCCACCCUCUGGCCCCUUCGACAGCGCAGCUGGCACCGUCCUCCCCGCGGCUGGACACCCGCCCGCCGGGCUGGGCAAGCGCUUCCUGGCGGCGCCAGGACCUGCUUGCCCCG